rnacentral:rRNA from 1 species
UGCGUAGACGGUCACGUAAGUCGGGUGUGAAAGCCCCGGGCUCAACCUGGGAAUUGCAUUCGAGACUGCAUGGCUAGGGUGCGGAAGAGGGAAGCGGAAUUUCAGGUGUAGCGGUGAAAUGCGUAGAUAUCUGAAGGAACACCAGUGGCGAAAGCGGCUUCCUGGUCCAGCACCGACGUUCAGGCACGAAAGCGUGGGGAGCAAACAGGAUUAGAUACCCUGGUAGUCCACGCCAUAAACGAUGAGAACUAGACGUUGAGAGGGUAAGCCUCCCAGUGUCGAAGCUAACGCGAUAAGUUCUCCGCCUGGGGAGUACGGCCGCAAGGUUGAA